rnacentral:rRNA from 1 species
CUCAGAUUGAACGCUGGCGGAAUGCUUUACACAUGCAAGUCGAACGGCAGCACGGACUUCGGUCUGGUGGCGAGUGGCGAACGGGUGAGUAAUAUAUCGGAACGUGCCCAGUCGUGGGGGAUAACGUAGUGAAAAUUACGCUAAUACCGCAUACGAUCUAUGGAUGAAAGCGGGGGAUCGCAAGACCUCGCGCGAUUGGAGCGGCCGAUAUCAGAUUAGGUAGUUGGUGAGGUAAAGGCUCACCAAGCCGACGAUCUGUAGCUGGUCUGAGAGGACGACCAGCCACACUGGAACUGAGACACGGUCCAGACUCCUACGGGAGGCAGCAGUGGGGAAUUUUGGACAAUGGACGCAAGUCUGAUCCAGCCAUUCCGCGUGCAGGACGAAGGCCUUCGGGUUGUAAACUGCUUUUGUACAGAACGAAAAGGUCUCUAUUAAUACUAGGGGCUCAUGACGGUACUGUAAGAAUAAGCACCGGCUAACUACGUG